rnacentral:misc_RNA from 1 species
UUUCCGUAGGUGAACCUGCGGAAGGAUCAUUAUUGAAUGAACUUGGCGUGGUUGUCGCUGGCCCUCUAGGGGGUAUGUGCACGCCCGUCAUCUUUAUCUUUCCACCUGUGCACACUUUGUAGACUUGAAUAGUACUUUCCGAGACAACUCGGUCGAGAGGAUUUGCUGUGCUUUAAUGUCAGCUCUCCUUGCAUUAUCCAGGCCUAUGUUUUCAUAUACCCCAAAGAAUGUAACAGAAUGUAUUAUUGGACCUUGUGCCUAUAAACUAUAUACAACUUUCAGCAACGGAUCUCUUGGCUCUCGCCUCGAUGAAGAACGCAGC